UAGGCGGCGUAAGCGGCUUUACGCUCAGUUUGACAGUUUGCUUGACAACAUGACGCUUGUUCAAACAACACGUGCAGACCGUUUUAAACACAUCUUAUGCAGAUGACAGCUCAGUGACAAUAUCUUAAUGUCACUAAACAACACAUAUUUCAGCUCUUCGACAAAUAAAGCCGACGCGUAAUGCGAUAAAGAGCGUCACGCUUCUCACCUAAUAAGAGAUGUGUUUGGACCACACAGAGCUCUGGGACGUGUGGACAGACAUUCGCUGUAAUGAAGGACAUCUGCUCAUGGACAGAAGCAUAACUGCUGCUGGACAUCGCUCUGGGACUCAGGGGGGGACCUGAAUCAUCCUCACCCCUUCAUUC